rnacentral:misc_RNA from 1 species
GCAUUUUUUUUAAUUUCAAUUUUAGUCAAUUUGGCCUAAAUUGCCUAAAUUGAAAUGAUUGGAUUAAAAUGCAAAUUUACAAAAUGGUUUGAAUUUUUCUUUUGUAAGUAGGCAUUUACAGUUUGAUGAAGUGUUUCCUUCGUUUUUUUUUUAUUCCUUUUUUUUAAACUCUGACACUAACUAGAAAGAUAUUUGGUCCUUGAAAACAAAAAGAAUCUUGUUUUAUACAUAAUUGGAAAUAAAUCAGAAUGAUAAGCAGUUGUCAUAACAAGUCACAUUGCCGAAUGAUCUAUUGAGCUUAUGGAAUAUCUCCAAUGUCUUAAAAUGUUUCUUCUAUGAUUCUUUUCAUUUUGUUCAUGCAAAAGUAGCUUAUUUCAUUGUUGAUAGGCCUGAUACAUUUUAUAUAACACAUCACCACAUGUCCAAUGGCCAAUUCUCAAAUGGGCCUGAAAGGAAAUGAGGAACUAAGGAAAAAUUCCAAACCUGAUGUCUCAAAAGAGGAACUACCAAAACUCCUUCUGGAGGACUAG